rnacentral:rRNA from 1 species
UACAGAGGAUGCAAGCGUUAUCCGGAAUGAUUGGGCGUAAAGCGCACGCAGGCGGUUUGUUAAGUCAGAUGUGAAAUCCCCGGGCUCAACCUGGGAACUGCAUUUGAAACUGGCAAGCUUGAGUCUUGUAGAGGGGGGUAGAAUUCCAGGUGUAGCGGUGAAAUGCGUAGAGAUCUGGAGGAAUACCGGUGGCGAAGGCGGCCCCCUGGACAAAGACUGACGCUCAGGUGCGAAAGCGUGGGGAGCAAACAGG